GAAUAUUGGACAAUGGGCGAAAGCCUGAUCCAGCCAUGCCGCGUGAGUGAUGAAGGCCCUAGGGUUGUAAAGCUCUUUCACCGGUGAAGAUAAUGACGGUAACCGGAGAAGAAGCCCCGGCUAACUUCGUGCCAGCAGCCGCGGUAAUACGAAGGGGGCUAGCGUUGUUCGGAAUUACGGGGCGUAAAGCGCACGUAGGCGGAUACUUAAGUCAGGGGUGAAAUCCCGGGGCUCAACCCCGGAACUGCCUUUGAUACUGGGUAUCUCGAGUCCGGAAGAGGUGAGUGGAAUUCCGAGUGUAGAGGUGAAAUUCGUAGAUAUUCGGAGGAACACCAGUGGCGAAGGCGGCUCACUGGUCCGGUACUGACGCUGAGGUGCGAAAGCGUGGGGAGCAAACAGGA
rnacentral:rRNA from 1 species